rnacentral:rRNA from 1 species
GAUGAACGCUGGCGGCGUGCCUAAUACAUGCAAGUCGAGCGAACAGACGAGGAGCUUGCUCCUCUGACGUUAGCGGCGGACGGGUGAGUAACACGUGGAUAACCUACCUAUAAGACUGGGAUAACUUCGGGAAACCGGAGCUAAUACCGGAUAAUAUAUUGAACCGCAUGGUUCAAUAGUGAAAUACGGUUUUGCUGUCACUUAUAGAUGGAUCCGCGCCGCAUUAGCUAGUUGGUAAGGUAACGGCUUACCAAGGCGACGAUGCGUAGCCGACCUGAGAGGGUGGUCGGCCACACUGGAACUGGUACACGGUCCAGACUCCUACGGGAGGCAGCAGUAGGGAAUCUGCCGCAAUAGGCGAAAGCCUGACGGAGCAACGCCGCGUGAGUGAUGAAGAUCUUCGGAUCGUAAAACUCUGUUAUUAGGGAAGAACAAAUGUGUAAGUAACUAUGCACGUCUUGACGGUACCUAAUCAGAAAGCCACGGCUAACUACGUG